rnacentral:tRNA from 1 species
GGUGGCUCAGUGGUAGAGUGCUUGCCUUGCAUGCAUGAGGCCUUAGGUUCAAUUCCUCAGGACCA